GGCUUCGUGGUCGAGUGGUAAGGACUCUUGCCUCUCACCUUGGAGCCCGGGUUCGAUUCCCGGUUAAGGAGCUA